rnacentral:miRNA from 1 species
GCCUCUUCCUCUCGGUCUCAUAUUGAACUCGAGUUGGAAGAGGCGAGUCCGGUCUCAAA